AGUAAAAUUCAAACAAACAAACAAACAAAACAAAUUGGCGCCAGGCAAGAUCUAGCCCCAGAUGGACCGAUCAACCUGAGGCCAGCGCUGUCCAUGGUAACAGGUUUUGUGUGGCUUAAAGCUUUCAUCCAUUUUCCUCACAACCAGUCGGUGAGCGGUAUUAGCCCUGUUUGGUAGACGAGAAAGCUGCGACUGCCUAGGUCACGGCCAAGAAGGCCUUGAGACGCCAGAUCUGCUCGCCGGCCCCCGCGCUGCCCCGAGGCUCCUCAGGCCCCAACGGCUGGCGCUGCCUCCGGGACUCCCGCGGGCUUUUGGCUCCUCCUCACCGCCGCUCGCGCUGGAAGCCCCGCCCCCGAGAGGGCCACGCGACUUCUGCGACGCCCAAUGAGACUUAGCUGGGGGCGGGACGGGACGUCAUUGAGAGCCAAUCUGAUGGGGCCUGGGCGGGACUGCGGCGGGUGGGAGCUGAGCUGCCGCACCGCGGUCUUCCCAGCCCGGAGAGAGCCCGGCGCGGGUGGCGCGCACGGGGCCUUCCUGUGCGCGCGCCCGCUGCCCGCCGCCCGCCGCGCGCCACCCGCGCAGCCCCUCGGCCCGCUCGGCCCUCCGGGUCGUGGCGCCCGUCCCUCCCCUGCUCUCCCGUCGCCGCCGGGACAGGGGCUCCGAGCUGAGCAGAGCCGGGGCAGGGGCGGGAGCCGCGGGACGAGCGCCUGAGGGGCCGCGGAGAAGCCAUGGAGCUGAGCAGCAAGAAGAAGCUUCACGCCCUGUCCCUGGCUGAGAAGAUCCAGGUGCUGGAACUCCUGGAUGAGUCCAAGAUGUCCCAGUCAGAGGUGGCCCGGCGCUUCCAGGUCUCCCAGCCCCAGAUCUCGCGCAUCUGCAAGAACAAGGAGAAGCUGCUGGCCGACUGGUGCAGCGGCACGGCCAACCGGGAGCGCAAGCGCAAGCGGGAGUCCAAGUACAGCGGGAUGGACGAGGCUCUGCUCUGCUGGUACCACAUCGCCCGGGCCAAGGCCUGGGACGUCACGGGGCCCAUGCUGCUCCACAAAGCCAAGGAACUGGCUGACAUCAUGGGCCAGGAUUUUGUGCCCAGCAUCGGCUGGCUGGUCCGCUGGAAGCGCCGGAACAACGUAGGCUUCGGGGGCCGCCACGGACUUGCGCCCUCCUUCCCCCCGGAGCCCCCACCCCCAAGCCCCACGUCCCGGGCCCAGCAUCCUCUUUCCCUUAAAGACUUCUCCCCAGAGGACGUUUUCGGCUGUGCCGAAGUGCCUCUGCUGUACCGGGCCGUGCCCGGCAGCGGGGGGCCCUGUGAGCGCGUGCGGGUGCUGCUGUGCACCAACAGCAGGGGCACGGAGAAGCGGCGGCUGCUGGUCAGUGGGCUCCAGGCCUCGCCCAGGUGCUUCUUUGGCGUCAACAGUGAGGCCCUGCCUGCCUCCUGCCACCCUGACCUGGGCAUCCCCUGGUCCGAGUGGCUGGCCCAGUUCGACAGGGACAUGGGCCGGCAGGGGCGACAGGUCACCCUGCUGCUGGCGGCCCGGGUGCUGGAGGAGCUGGCCAGCCUGCCCGGACUCCGCCACGUGAGGCUCCUGCCCCUGGCCGCCACCACGGCCGCUCCCAGCACGCCAGCCCUGCCCAGCUCUGUGGUCCGAGCCUUCAAGACACAUUACCGGCACCGGCUGCUGGGCAAGCUAGCCGCUGUGCAGAGCAGGAGGGCCGGCGUCUCGCUGGCAGAGGCCGGGGCGGGCCUCACAGUGCUGGAUGCGCUGCACCUGGCAGCGGCGGCCUGGGCCAAGGUGCCCCCGCAGCUCAUCGUCAGAGGCUUCAUCCAGGAAGGGCUGGCUCCCUGCCAGCUGCCGCCAGCCCCCAACGAAGCCUCCGAGCUGCCUCUGGUCCCCAGCGGGCUGAGUCUCCAGGAGUUUGCCCGCUUUGUGGACCUGGAGGGCGAGGAGCCCUCAUCUGGAGCGUGCAAAGAGGAGACGGGCGCCGAGGCCGAGGAGGGGUUUGGGGAGGACGGCUUCCAGCCCCUGCCCACCAAAGCUGACGCUCUCCGGGCUCUGGGCACGCUCCGGAGGUGGCUGGAGUGCAACAGCCCCUCCCCUGCGCUCUUUGAAAAAUUCUACGCCUGCGAGGAGGAGGUAGAGCGGCUCUGCUGCCUGUGAAGGGCCCCUCAUGGCUCGCCGGAGCCUCUCCUCUCCUGUUUCCCAUGGAAACGCCCUCUCUAGAAGGCAGACGGGAGGCUGGUCUCUUUCCCGUGGAAAUGGAGCUCUUGUGAAAGCAUCUCUCCAGCAAGCCUGCGUGGUGAGACUGCAUAAAUGGUGUCCCCGCUGGGCAGGACCUUGGGACAGCAGAGGUGCAUCGUGAUUAAAGGCUGUCACCCAGGCAGGUGCACAGUCAUGUGGCCCCGCAGAGCCCGGGGAGACUCCUGGAGGGGUUGUGCCCUCUGAGCUGCAGCUUGGCCGGUAAGGCCAGUCCAACACAAGGAGUGGCGGGCACGGAGGCCGACUGGGAGGGAGCACCGUGUGGUGGGCGGAGGCAGGUGGCCCCUCCCGAGCACAUGGGGAGGCCUGGGGAGCAGGAGGGCUGUUUAGCUCACUAGACCUGGUGAGGGGGUACCCCAAAGUUCCUCAGUCGGGAUGGGGACAGUCAUUCGUGGGAGUUCUAGAAUAAUUGAGAUGUGGAGGGUGGGUCGAAGAUGUGAGAGCCACUGGCAGACAGAGUCCGAGUGGUCCAGGUGGGAUAUGGGCAGCCCGAGCCAGAUCAGGAAGGAGGACUUGAAGAGGCUGGAUUCACCUGGAAAGGCCAUGGGCCAUGGGCACAGACAGACUGGGCUGGUGAGGAGUCCAGCUCUGGCCAAAAUCUUCUUGUGGCCUAAAAGGCAGUAGGCCAUCACAAGUCAGUGCGGGGCAACUUUUGGUUUUGGGGAUACUGCGGUCCAGGACUCAGUGUCCACGGCAGCCACGCAAGGGGGGGGAGGGGCAGAGGGAGAGGAAAAGUCUUAAGCAGACUCCGUGUUGAGUGUGGACCCUUACCCAGCCACCCUGGGAUCAUGACCUGAGACCAAAUCAAGAGUCAGACACUUAACCAACUGAGCCCCCCAGGCGGCCCGGACAGCUCACUUUUAAACCGUGCUGAGCCUGCCUGAUGGUCUUCCAAACCCCAAAUCCUGUAGGCUUUCCUCACAGAUUCCAGUUUUCCUACCCAUCUUCCAUUGUCCCUUUUCUGAAAUCAUCCCAGUUCUGACCUAUCUCCUUAAACGUUAAAACCAGAAUUAUAUGACCUCUAAAGACCCGACCAAAGUAACAGGAGGGGACACACCAGCCCUCUGUCCUGGGUGCUGUAUUCCAGUUAGAGCAGCUCAGCUUGACGGCCAUAUUUCUGCCUUUCUCCCAGAGCCUUUCUUUUAAAGCCACAAAGAACCAUUUCCUUUCCUGUGCUGCUGUCCUGUAACAUUCUUGUCCUGUUUGCAAGCGACUUCGUUAGCUCAUUCAAACACUAUUUACUGACUUCUUUGCUUGUGAGUCAGGCGCUGUUCCAGGACCCUCCAGCUCAUAGAGAACAAGACAGAAAGGAUCCCUCCUCUCCAAGCCCUUCUUUCUGGCAGAGGGAGAUAAAGAAGAGACGAGCAAACCAAUAAACGUGGUCAUUUUAGAGGGAAAUCUGUGCCAAGAUGAGAAUAAAAUAGUGAUGUUUUUGAGAGGGGCUGGGAGAUGGGAGUUAGGGAGAAGUCUUUUGGGCUGAGUCACAAAGAGUAAGGAAGUGUUCUCUGCCCAGGGAGCAGCAGGUGCAAACGUCACAGGCCGGAGCAACUGUCCUGUGGUAGAGAGUGGGGGCGGGGGGGGGUGUCAAGCAGAGGAGGAGGGUGGAGAGGAGAGGAAGCAGGGGCCUCGGGGUCACAUUGUUCACGGUCACCUCAAGUGAGACAAGCAGUUCGGAGGGGUGGUCUUGGUGGGGGCCUGAUUUGGAUAACGGAGGAACACACAUUAUGUUUUAGAAAAUCAGAUUCUAGUCACUGUGUGAAGCUCAUAUGGGAAGUGGGGGGGCGACACACGCGGAAGCAGGAAAACCAAGGAAGUCAGGAAGCUACUGCAUUCGGGGAGACCUGAUGGGCAGGAAGGAGAGGAAGGAAGACACCUUCCCAACAGAGCGGAGCUCUUACCAAGGUCCCGGCAGGCAUCACCACCCGCACAGUGAGGGCAGGACUAAGUGCGGGCGUUGUUUCCGUUUAUCUACAAGCCUGUGAUGAGUACCCUCUGCUCAGAGGGCGGCAGAGGUGAAUAAGACACAGUCCCUGUACCUAAGGAACCAGCGAGAGAACUAGGAAGUGACCUAUAUAUAGCCUGGGGGUGGGGGAACGCUAGAUCUGUUGCUUUUGUUUCUACUGAUGCUUCAACUCAUGGUAGCUUUUUUCUUUGUGUGUCUUUUAAUUUCUGGAUGUGGGAAUCAUUUUUAAAAAUAUCUUAUUAGGUUUUUUGUUUUUUUUUUUAAUCUCUGGAAAACUUGAAGGUCUGAUUUAGGGAGCCCUUUCAGAAGAAUGUGUAAUUACUCCUACCAGGCACGAGAGGGCGCUACGGACACGCUAAAUUAAUUUCUCCGGGGAAAGCUGUUUCAGACCUGAAGUUCCGUGAGUAGGCCUGUGGUUCCUGGUUCACAGAGGGGACUCUUACUCUUAAUUUCUGCCCACCACAAGGGAGAGUAGGUUUCUUUGUAGAUUCCCUUUAGUGGUGGAUGGAGGUUUUCUAGUUCACCCUUUCGCUAAAGAGGUAUCCUUUUCCAGAAUCUUGGUUUAAUUUAUGAGUCUUGGGUUCAGCGCCCCUGUGUGUGUCACUCAAUGUCUAGUCUUCAGCUCCAGGAAGUUCUUUACCUCCAAGGUCUCAGCAUUAGUGUGAGCCCCAAGGGCAGCUCUAGUUCCAAUACCCCGAUUUGCCCUUGGGAAGUUCUCUUACUUCUUGAAAAGUUAGCAACGGUUUUAAGAUCGUGUUUGUAAUAACAGAUCUGGAAUCCAGCUGCCUUGUAGAAGGAGGGCUCUAGGUAAAGUCUAGAGCACCAGUCUGCCAGAAGGGAUAUUGGGAAGACCGGGUGUUUUGUUUUUGUGUUUUUUUUCAUUUACUCAUUCAUUCAUUUGUUCAAAGCUCUUCAUUGAACAACUCUUGUGUGUCCGCUGGCAUUCUGAUGAUGAACAAAAAGAGGCAAGUUCUCAGCUUCACAGAGCCCAUAGCUUAGAGGAAGGACAAUAAUCAUAAAAGAAUCAUACGCACAAAAGCCUGUGAUUCCAGAUAAAGUGGGGAUUACAUGAGAGCACAAGCUAGUGGUUCUCAGACUGUGGCCCAUGCUGGCAGCAUCAGUAGGAACUUAGGAAAGCACAAAUUCUUGGAGUCUCCUCAAACCUCCCGAUUCAGAAACCCCAGCAUGGGACCCAGUAAUCUGUAUUUGAACACGUCCCCCCAGGUGAUUCUAAACACUGGCAUAAGCCAGAGGAACUUGACCUAGACAGUGGGACUGAGGAAAGUUUUCCUAAAGAAGUGGUGAUGGCAGCAGAAGGGUGAGUGGGAGGUGCACAGCUAGUGAGAACUAUACAUGCAAAUGUCCUGUGGUGAGAGGGAACGUGGUUGUUUAAGGAACCAAGAGAAGGCGAAUGUCUGAGAACCUUGAAGGUUGUAGAAGGGGUUUGUCCUGAUUCCACAGAGCAAUGGCUUCCCAUUGCUCUGGAAGAAGCAAUGCCAUAGGAAGAAGGUGAGUAGUUUGUCCAGCUUCAGGACAGGACGGGGGCUGUGGUUUUAGGACUGAGAAAGAGAGAGUGAGUCCUAGAAAACUUUAGGGGCAGGGUUGGCAGGAGCUGGGGACUCCUUUAAUGUGGGCGGAGGGGCGCUUCUCUGAGACCUCUGGCCUGAGGACAUUUCUGGGCCACAGAGCACUGCAGGAGGAGCAGGCUGGAGGCGGAACGUGGCACUUUGGGAUGCUCAAGAAUGCGUGAGCAGAGACAGCCAGCAGUGUGGACCUAGGGCUCGGGACAGUAGUCAGGCUGGAAACACCAUAGAAGCACAUUCGAAAACCGCAUCCCCAUGGCUCAGCUGUCGAGUAAGUGUGGGAGAAGUGAAUUAAGCCAGAAGCGUCCCACAGUGUGUCAUUUCUCCCUGUGCGAACGGACUCCACGCCAGUCAGCCUCUUCUAAUGUCUCCACUGUGAUCACUGCUGUAAAAGCAAGUGUCACGUUUGACAUCGUGGAAACCAACGAGAUGCUAUUUACAUUUGUCCAAGUCACGGGCUGCUUAUACGCAAGGCUCGGACACCAGCCCCAUUGUCAACCUCAAAGCAGGUGCAUUUGCUGUUUGGUUUUUAGGGAUUCCUUCGAUCUCAGUGAGCUCUCAAAAAGAAUGAUGACCUCUAACAACAUGGUAAUUCCUUGAGGAAUUUUUUUU